ensembl:snRNA U6 U6 spliceosomal RNA
GUGCUUGCUUCUGCAGCACAUGUACUAAAAUUGGAACAAUACAGAGAUUAGCGUGGCUCCUGUGCACGACACACAACUUCAUGAAAUGUUUCAUAUUUAA